CCAUAUCACUUUAUUUUGCUUCAUAG
rnacentral:piRNA from 1 species